rnacentral:rRNA from 1 species
UACGUAGGUGGCGAGCGUUGUCCGGAUUUACUGGGCGUAAAGAGCGCGCAGGCGGUCGUGUAAGUCGAAUGUGAAAGCCCCCGGCUCAACUGGGGAGGGUCAUUCGAUACUGCUCGACUCGAAGGCAGGAGAGGGAAGCGGAAUUCCCGGUGUAGUGGUGAAAUGCGUAGAUAUCGGGAGGAACACCAGUGGCGAAGGCGGCUACCUGGCCCAAUACUGACACCCAGGUGCGACAGCGUGGGGAGCAAACAGG